rnacentral:rRNA from 1 species
UCCUACGGGGGGCAGCAGUGGGGAAUUUUGGACAAUGGGCGCAAGCCUGAUCCAGCCAUGCCGCGUGCGGGAAGAAGGCCUUCGGGUUGUAAACCGCUUUUGUCAGGGAAGAAAUCUUCUGGGCUAAUACCUCGGGAGGAUGACGGUACCUGAAGAAUAAGCACCGGCUAACUACGUGCCAGCAGCCGCGGUAAUACGUAGGGUGCAAGCGUUAAUCGGAAUUACUGGGCGUAAAGCGUGCGCAGGCGGUUUUGUAAGAAAGAGGUGAAAUCCCCGGGCUCAACCUGGGAACUGCCUUUGUGACUGCAAGGAUUGAGUGCGGCAGAGGGGGAUGGAAUUCCGCGUGUAGCAGUGAAAUGCGUAGAUAUGCGGAGGAACACCGAUGGCGAAGGCAAUCCCCUGGGCCUGCACUGACGCUCAUGCACGAAAGCGUGGGGAGCAAACAGGAUUAGAUACCCCGGUAGUCCA